UGGGACUGAGACACGGCCCAGAUUCCUACGGGAGGCAGCAGUGGGGAAUAUUGCACAAUGGGCGAAAGCCUGAUGCAGCAACGCCGCGUGAGGGAUGACGGCCUUCGGGUUGUAAACCUCUUUUAGCAGGGAAGAAGCGAAAGUGACGGUACCUGCAGAAAAAGCGCCGGCUAACUACGUGCCAGCAGCCGCGGUAAUACGUAGGGCGCAAGCGUUAUCCGGAAUUAUUGGGCGUAAAGAGCUCGUAGGCGGUUUGUCGCGUCUGCUGUGAAAUCCCGAGGCUCAACCUCGGGCCUGCAGUGGGUACGGGCAGACUAGAGUGCGGUAGAGGAGAUUGGAAUUCCUGGUGUAGCGGUGGAAUGCGCAGAUAUCAGGAGGAACACCGAUGGCGAAGGCAGAUCUCUGGACCGUAACUGACGCUGAGGAGCGAAAGGGUGGGGAGCAAACAGGCUUAGAUACCCUGGUAGUCCACCCCGUAAACGUUGGGAACUAGUUGUGGGGUCCAUUCCACGGAUUCCGUGACGCAGCUAACGCAUUAAGUUCCCCGCCUGGGGAGUACGGCCGCAAGGCUAAAACUCAAAGGAAUUGACGGGGACCCGCACAAGCGGCGGAGCAUGCGGAUUAAUUCGAUGCAACGCGAAGAACCUUACCAAGGCUUGACAUACACGAGAACGGGCCAGAAAUGGUCAACUCUUUGGACACUCGUGAACAGGUGGUGCAUGGUUGUCGUCAGCUCGUGUCGUGAGAUGUUGGGUUAAGUCCCGCAACGAGCGCAACCCUCGUUCUAUGUUGCCAGCACGUCAUGGUGGGAACUCAUGGAAUACUGCCGGGGUCAACUCGGAGGAAGGUGAGGAUGACGUCAAAUCAUCAUGCCCCUUAUGUCUUGGGCUUCACGCAUGCUACAAUGGCCGGUACAAUGGGCUGCAAUACCGUGAGGUGGAGCGAAUCCCAAAAAGCCGGUCCCAGUUCGGAUUGAGGUCUGCAACUCGACCUCAUGAAGUCGGAGUCGCUAGUAAUCGCAGAUCAGCAACGCUGCGGUGAAUACGUUCCCGGGUCUUGUACACACCGCCCGUCAAGUCAUGAAAGUCGGUAACACCUGAAGCCGGUGGCCCAACCC
rnacentral:rRNA from 1 species